rnacentral:rRNA from 1 species
AGCGAAAUUCCUUGUCGGGUAAGUUCCGACCCGCACGAAAGGCGUAACGAUUUGGGCACUGUCUCAACAACAGACUCGGUGAAAUUGUAAUUCCGGUGAAGAUGCCGGAUACCUGCGACAGGACGGACAGACCCCAUGGAGCUUUACUGUAGCUUGACAUUGGGUCUUGGUACUACAUGUACAGGAUAGGUGGGAGGCUUUGAAACCAGGACG